rnacentral:misc_RNA from 1 species
AAGUCGUAACAAGGUCUCCGUAGGUGAACCUGCGGAAGGAUCAUUACCUGAGGCCACGGGCCGUUCCCGGGCGCGCCUAGCGCACCCCCGGGAGCGCUUAGCCCCUGACUAUCACCUUGACUAUGCGCACCUUUGUUGUUCCCUCGGCAGUCCGCUGCCGCCAGGGACCACGAAACCCCUUGCAUCAGCAUCAAACCUCUGAAAACCAACCUAAUUAUUUACAA